UUACGGUCACAUCACGUUGAAGCACCAAAUCCCGUACGAUCACUAAAGUUAAGCAAAGUCGAGUCUGGCCAGUACCUAGAUGGGUGACCACUUGGGAAUACAGGGUCUUGUAA